GACGAACGCUGGCGGCGUGCUUAACACAUGCAAGUCGAGCGGUAAGGCCCUUUCGGGGGUACGACGAGCGGCGAACGGGUGAGUAACACGUGGGUGACCUGCCUUUAGCUCUGGGAUAAGCCUGGGAAACUGGGUCUAAUACCGGAUACGACUCCGCGGUGCAUGCUGUGGGGUGGAAAGCCUUGUGCGGCUGAGGAUGGGCCCGCGGCCUAUCAGCUUGUUGGUGGGGUGAUGGCCACCAAGGCGACGACGGGUAGCCGGCCUGAGAGGGCGACCGGCCACACUGGGACUGAGACACGGCCCAGACUCCUACGGGAGGGCAGCAGUGGGGAAUCUUGCGCAAUGGGCGAAAGCCUGACGCAGCGACGCCGCGUGAGGGAUGACGGCCUC
rnacentral:rRNA from 1 species